CCUACGGGAGGCAGCAGUGAGGAAUAUUGGUCAAUGGGCGGAAGCCUGAACCAGCCAAGUAGCGUGCGGGAUGAAGGCCCUACGGGUCGUAAACCGCUUUUGCACGGGGAUAACACCCUCCACUUGUGGAGGUCUGCAGGUACCGUGCGAAUAAGGGCCGGCUAACUCCGUGCCAGCAGCCGCGGUAAUACGGAGGAUGCGAGCUUUAUCCGGAUUUAUUGGGUUUAAAGGGUGCUCAGAGGGCAUGUUAAGUCAGCGGGAAAAGCCCGGGGCUCAACCCCGGCCCGCCGUUGAAACUGGCAGUCUCGAGUUGGAGAGAAGUAUGCGGAAUGCGCGGUGUAGCGGUGAAAUGCAUAGAUAUCGCGCAGAACUCCGAUUGCGAAGGCAGCAUGCUGGCUCCACACUGACGCUGAGGCACGAAAGCGUGGGUAUCGAACAGGAUUAGAUACCCCUGUAGUC
rnacentral:rRNA from 1 species